rnacentral:lncRNA from 1 species
AAGGGGAGAUCAGUGCCAGGUGAGCUGAUUGGCACAGCCGGUGCUGGCUGGCUAAUUACACUCUGCCUUUUAAUGCAGCGGCAUGCUGGACCUCAGAUGACUGCUGCACACUGAGGACAAUCGGCCACUUCUGCCUGUUGGAACUCAACAGCUGAUAAAUGUGUUUAUGUUGAGACUCGCUCCCAUGACAAGGACCACAUAUGAGGCAGAAGCACACGGCUGCUUUUUGACUGUAUACAAAGAUGGAGGAUAUGACAUGUCCACAAAAGUGAAGCCAGAACAUCUUGAUGGACCCCUGGUGGCUGGAGGCAGUACAGCCGCCCCCAAGUCAGCAGUCAGGCUUUUCUCUCACCAUGAGCUCAGUCGAUGCCUGCUGCUAACCUCAGGCCAGGCGGGAGCCCGGAGGUUUUGAGAGGUCGGACCUGACUGUCUGGAAAAUGCCAAUGUGGAACUUUGACACAGAAACCAUCCACCCUCAAUUUACUGUAAUUACUGCCAGGCCUCCGGUGGGCCACCUCUCCUAGCCUGGCGACCGAUCCCCAUCCAUCCUGCCAAAAUGGCAGCUUUAUAGCCUCCUUCCUCCCGGACCGUCCUCGAUCGGCCAAUGGGAUGGGGCAAGUCUCCGCCUGAACAGGGGGCAGACAAAGGGAUACAUCUGGUUGAUGAAUUAAGAUGUUGCCCAAGGGUCGUUGGUUGUACACUCACUAAUUAAAUCAUUAUCCAGCAGUCAAUCUCCACCUACUCCAGCCAGGAUAUUACUAAUUAGUGUGCUGAUAACGGUGCUUAAAAGCUGUUUUCCCUGGCCGGGAAUCAAUGCGAACUGUAAAUAAAUGUGUUACUGCAAAAUAAUUACAACAUAAUACAG